ACUUUCUUAUAGCAGCCAGAACUGACCAAGACAGUGAGCAUGUGAGUUUGGGGCAUCCUGGAGCCACCUUGAGACUCCAUGAACAAUAGGGCAAGAACACUGUUGUCAACACAUAAUGCUGGACCAUCAGAUGUGCCUGGAAAAGGAAUGGGCAUCUCAGGAGUGAAAUGGAACUGCAGCUCUGCCACGCUCAUGUCUCCGGGGAUGUCCAUGCUCUUUCCUGUGUGUCUUUAUUUAAAUUUUGAAAAUGACAUCAGAACAGAGCACAUUGUCACCUAAAGUCCUGCUGACACGCAUGAAGAUGUGCCUGCAUACACAUUCUGGGACUUUAGUGAUGGAUAUUCAUCAAUAACUUUUGGAGAGAAAUCAGAGGGGAAAAAUAACAAUAAUUGGAAGUUUAGACCUGGACAUGCAUUUCAACGGACAGAACAGUUUCAAAUGUCAGUUCAACUCAAUUUAACAAACAUUUACUUUGAACCGAAUAAACAAAACCGAGGCGAUAAGAGGCUUCACAGAGAAAGAGACUUGACUUUGGGAUUAGAAGAUGAUUUGAAACCAUCUAAUCACUUUUUCUCUGCUAUCCUCAUUGCCCGAAAUAGGCUCUCCUCUCCUCUUUAAGGGAUUGCUGUGACAGCCUCAAAGUGAUCUUUAAAAUGCAGUAUAAUACAGGGUCUUUCUUUUUUCUCCACGCUAUUAUCCACAGCUCAAAAUCGCAAAAUAUAGGCAUGUUAAAAUGACAUUAAAUUAUUUAAAUCAUUUUUAAAAAACAGAGAAAAUGGUGUCAUGAACUGGAGCGGCUAUGCCUAUAUACAAGAUGAGGAAAUUGAGGGCCAGAUGCCCUUGUUCCUUCAACUCAGAUGUGGCAGAGACAGAAGUUAAGUCCACGUUUCCCCAGAUCCCUCCAUUUCCAGACCACACGCUUCUUCCAUCCUCCAAUGCUGUUUUGUGUGCUUCCUGAUUACUCUCUGCUCCUCUUUCACCCACUGAAUGUAAAUUGCUGUAAUUUUUAAAUGUUUAUUGCACAGGUAUUUAGAAAAUUAUAGCCUCUGUUAAGAUUUUUUUGAUAUCUAUAUCUCACUCAUAUACAAGGAACUGAUUCUCUGAAGUACAUGUGAAAAACAACUGUGUCGUUUGAAGUCGUGAUGCAAAGUAAGAUC
rnacentral:lncRNA from 1 species